AUGCUCGCUUCAGCAGCACACAUAUACUAAAAUUGGAACAAUACAGAAAAGAUUAGCAUGGCCCCUGUGCAAGGAUGACAUGCAAAUUCAUGAAGCAUUCCAUAUUUGA